rnacentral:lncRNA from 1 species
UUGCUGUGAACAGCCAUGGCAGCUCCUAUACGAGAAGGCAUUUAAUUGGGGCUGGCUUAUCGUUUCAGAGGUUUGAUUCGUUAUCAUGAUGGGAGCAUGGCAGCACAUAGGCACACAAGAUACUAGAGAAGUAACAGAGUUCUGCAUCUGCAUCUGCAGACAGCAGGAAGAGAGAGACUCUGGGCCCGGCUUUGGCCUUUGAAACCUUAAAGCCCCUCCCCCAGGGACAUACUUCCUCUAGCUAGGCCACACUUCCUAAUCCUUUCAAAUACUUACACUCCCUGGUGACCAGGCGUUCAAAUCUGUGAGCCUAUAGGGGCUGUUCUCAUUCAAACCUCCGUGUUUACUGUCUAAAAAUGUAUCAUUUAUGUAUGAAAAGCUGAAACUGAGUAGAACAAAAAUCCUGGUGCUACUUUUGAUAUAUCCUGAAAUUCCAAAGGUUGUGGAGCCAUUCAGUGAGUGUGAGGCUAAAUGCCUCACAACUGUGGCUGGCUUGGUGACUCAGAAUUUACAGUCCUAACCCAAACAGGGCUUGGGGAGUUCAGGUUUUACUUUAUGCCGAUGCAAAUGAAGUCCUUGCUCUGUUGUUAGCCAGUGAAAUCAAUGUUAAUGAAGUCCAGCUCACAUCCGUAGCAGUCUGUUAGGAAAGCUGUGCUGGCCAUGGUGCCCAGAGAGUUUUAGUGGUGUGGGCUUUGCAUGCAGUUCCUCUUAACACUAUACCAAAGUUAGUCUGCUGAAGGGUUAUGUUGUCUAAAUUAUGGUCACUUGUAAGAUCAUGGAGAAUGUCUUUUGAAAGUAGGAAAUACUUCACUGGUAUAAUGUGUUGUAUCAGCAAUGCAAAGAGCUACCUUCUGCAAUGGGAUAAUUCCAACAUGUCACAAUUCACUCUUUUUUGGUGACUGCCAAAUUUAAGAUUCCAUAUGUUGAAAUACUAAAGCUGAAAUACCUUAUAGGAGGCUGUUAAAAGAACAGUUAGCAUUCUUAGGACAGCAGCAUGCUAUAAUGUCCAUAGUGCUCAUAGGAUCUCUGUUGAAAGGUCAUUUAGGGAACUUGGGUUAGGAAACCUGUCUGUUGGCUUGAGUUUGGCUCAACGCAGUCAUUCUAUAUUGCUUCUUGGGUGUCUUUAAAGAGUACUUGGUCUUCACUGUUGCCCAGGCGGGAGAGCUUCCGUGCCUCCUUCAAGGAUUAUGCAGAGGAGUUAGAACUUGUUGAGAAGAAUGAAUAUCAUCCUCUUUAUCUGCGCAGUAAACUUUCUCAUUAUCUAAUGGUGCAGGCUAAGUGUUAUGGUCCAGUUUUAGUAAUUGCCUUGACAAUGAUAAGAAAACGGUGUUCUCUCUGGAAAACCACUUGGACAAUUUUGGUCUCACCUCGGAAUAUACUAUCCGAGACUCUGGAAAUUUGGGACAGUAGCAGCUGGACACAGCUCUGCCAGCCACGUGAGCAUUACGGUGAAGAGCAGUCUAUGAUGUCGCUAAACUGGGCUGUUUAGGUCAGGUGUACUAACUGCAUUUCAAGUCUCUGGUAUUUUCAACUCUAGGUGGGCAGACUGGGACAUGACCUCAUCCGUCGUAAGGCUGCUUCUGGAUGCUUUUUUAUUUUGAGGCUGAUGCCUCCCAAUCACUCAGUGGCCCAAGAACCUGGCUUAAGGGCUUAAGACAAUGACAUAAGUGUUCCAUUAAAUUUUAAUAAUUGUGAGAUGGCGACAUUCCCUGGGUGAGUUCUUCCCGUCCUGAGGAGGUUCGUCACUCAAUUUGAUCAUUACAUAUUAUGUUGGCUUUUAUAGAUUAUUUACUCCAACACUGGGUCCUAGUUUUCCUGAUGAAUAAAAAUAAGUGUCUGGU